rnacentral:rRNA from 1 species
CCUACGGGUGGCUGCAGUGGGGAAUAUUGGACAAUGGGCGAAAGCCUGAUCCAGCCAUGCCGCGUGUGUGAAGAAGGCCUUCGGGUUGUAAAGCACUUUCAGUGGGGAAGAAAGCCUUGGGGCUAAUACCCUCGAGGAAGGACAUCACCCACAGAAGAAGCACCGGCUAACUCCGUGCCAGCAGCCGCGGUAAUACGGAGGGUGCGAGCGUUAAUCGGAAUUACUGGGCGUAAAGCGCGCGUAGGCGGUCUGAUAAGCCGGUUGUGAAAGCCCCGGGCUCAACCUGGGAACGGCAUCCGGAACUGUCAGGCUAGAGUGCAGGAGAGGAAGGUAGAAUUCCCGGUGUAGCGGUGAAAUGCGUAGAGAUCGGGAGGAAGACCAGUGGCGAAGGCGGCCUUCUGGACUGACACUGACGCUGAGGUGCGAAAGCGUGGGUAGCAAACAGGAUUAGAUACCCGUGUAGUC